AUAUAAAAACUACAUAUUAAUAAAAUACAAACUAAUACGAAUCUAACAAGAUCCCACAUGACUAUGUUUUUAUUCACAUAUAAAUCACAAACGAGGGUCAAAGUGCAAUUUGUGAAUAGUGUAAAAUGUCAAAGUGUAACAAUUAAAAAGAAACGGAGGUAGUACAACUUAAAAGAGCAAUCCCUGAGUUAAGCAUAAAUACGAGCCCUAAGUUUUAGUAUUUUUCACUAAUUGGGGACUCUAAGUUUUUUUUUCACCCUUAGAGUACUAUGACCACUCUUACCCUAUAUUUUAAUUGGUUGGGGUUAAAAACUUAGUACCUUGAGUUAAAAACUUAAUACCUAGGGUUAUCAUUCCUUUGGUUGUUAUUUGCGUCUUGAAUUGAUCAAACUGCAAAUACAAGUUUCACUUUCUUUUAUCUCCUCUGUUCAAGAAGCUUCCCAAAGCUAAGGUCAGACUAUUGUUGAUCCAAACUCAGUUUUUGCUUCCAAUUUCGCACUCUUGCUGCUCCCAAUUUAGAUAUGGAUUUGGAUAUUGAUCCAUGUAUUGUUGUUCACCAUGGUGGUAAGUGGGUGUAUAACCCUAACAAAGUCAAAUAAGUGUUCUAAUGCACAACAGAGGUGUAGGUAUUUACACCUACCCAAAUGGCUACCAGAGACAAGCCAUGUACAAAAAUCAAAGUCAAACUCAAAUCAACAUGAACUCAAAUCUAACAUCAUCCAACCUUGAUUAGUGUUGCUCUUUUGCUCUUAUAUUGAUGCAUGGGGAUAGGAUGAUGCAAGCUAAUAGCUUUCUUGUUUGUUCAUAGUUGCAUGGAGUUGCAUGGUGUUUGUUGGGUCAUUUAUUAGCUUUCUCUUUUGUCAAGAUUUUAUUCCCAAAACGUUUAAGUUUUUGGUUGUUACAGUUAUAUUUAAUCAAGUUUUUGCUUUAGGGACUAAGUUUUUAUAAAAUAUAUUAAGUUUUAGAUCUGA